CCCUUAGACGUUCUGGGCCGCACGCGCGCUACACUGACCAGUGCAACAAGCAUCCGUCCUUGGCCGACAGGCCCGGGCAAUCUUUGAACGCUGGUCGUGAUGGGGAUAGACUUUUGCAAUUUUUGGUCUUCAACGAGGAAUUCCUAGUAAACGCAAGUCAUCAACUUGCAUUGAUUACGUCCCUGCCCUUUGUACACACCGCCCGUCGCACCUACCGAUUGAAUGGUCCGGUGAAGCCUCCGGAUUGGCGCGCACCUCGGUGCCGCCGAGAAGUUGGCUAAACCUUNCNAUUUAANGGAAGGUGAANUCGUANCA
rnacentral:rRNA from 1 species